CGUCUAUAUACGUAUAGCAUAUCAAUAAGCGGAGGAAAAGAAACUAACAAGGAUUCCCUUAGUAACGGCGAGUGAAGCGGGAAGAGCUCAAAUUUGAAAUCUUCAAGGUUUACCUUGACGAAUUGUAGUUUAAAGAAGUGUUUUCUGUUAGAGUUUGAGUAGCAAAAGUUCCUUUGGAAUGGGACAUCAUAGAGGGUGAGAAUCCCGUAUUUGGUUAUUCUUUCUAGCUUUGUGAUACACUUUCAAAGAGUCGGAUUGUUUGGGAAUGCAGUCCAAAAUGGGUGGUAAAUUUCAUCUAAAGCUAAAUAUUGGCGAGAGACCGAUAGCGAACAAGUACCGUGAGGGAAAGAUGAAAAGAACUUUGAAAAGAGAGUUAAACAGUACGUGAAAUUGUCAAAAGGGAAGCGUUUGACACCAGUGUUGUUUUUCCGAAAAUCAAUUAAGAGUGGCUUGAUUUUGUGUUGUAUUGACCUUAUCAGCUUUCUUCACUCCUUUUCGAGUCUUUCUUAAUGCACUUUUCGGUUAACAAGUCAACAUCAAUUUCUUUUGUUGUAAAAGGGUAUUUGGAAGGUGGCUUUCUUUUCGGAGAAAGUGUUUAUAGCCUUAUACCUCUACAAUCGGAGAGAUUGAGGUCUGCAGCGUAGAUCCUUCGGGGCUAGAUACACUUGUGCUAAGUUAUAGCUUUUCAUAGACAACUUGUUGACUAUGUUUAGUCAUGUAGCUUACCCGCUUGUGCUAUUUUACCUACGCUUAGGAUGUUGAGUCAUCACACAUCUCU
rnacentral:rRNA from 1 species